rnacentral:misc_RNA from 1 species
GCAAACUUGGUCAUUUAGAGGAAGUAAAAGUCGUAACAAGGUUUCCGUAGGUGAACCUGCGGAAGGAUCAUUAAAAAUUUUUGAACCAAUUUUAUGGAUCAAAAAAUCCAUAAUCCACCUUUUGUGCUUCAAUUGACUUUUGGGAGAUUUUUGGUCAUCUCCCAGAGGGCUCUUCUAUAUACAAAUUUUUGACUUAAAAUUUUUAUAUGUAAAAUAUAAUAAACAACUUUCAACAACGGAUCUCUUGGCUCUCGCAUCGAUGAAGAACGCAGC